rnacentral:rRNA from 1 species
GACUCUCGGCAAUGGAUAUCUCRGCUCUU